UACGUAGGUGGCGAGCGUUGUCCGGAAUUACUGGGUGUAAAGGGAGCGUAGGCGGGUCGGCAAGUCAGUGGUGAAAUACAUGGGCUUAACCCAUGAAUUGCCAUUGAAACUGCCGGUCUUGAGUGGAUCAGAGGCAAGCGGAAUUCCGAGUGUAGCGGUGAAAUGCGUAGAUAUUACACAGAACACCGAUUGCGAAGGCAGCUUACUAAUCCAUCAUUGACGCUGAGGCACGAAAGCGUGGGGAUCAAACAGGAUUA
rnacentral:rRNA from 1 species